UACGUAGGGGGCAAGCGUUGUCCGGAUUUAUUGGGCGUAAAGCGCUCGCAGGUGGUUCGUUGCGUCGUGCGUGAAAGACCCCGGCUCAACUGGGGGGUGUCGUGCGAUACGGGCGGACUGGAGGCCAGUAGGGGGAUGCGGAAUUCCGGGUGUAGUGGUGGAAUGCGUAGAGAUCCGGAGGAACACCAGCGGCGAAGGCGGCUCUCUAGUACGGUACUGACGCUGAGACGCGAAAGCGUGGGGAGCGAACAGG
rnacentral:rRNA from 1 species